AAUGCGUUCACUCGGCGCAAACAUGGCUGCGGCCCUGCGCGCCGCGGGCGUCCUGCUCCGCGAUCCGCUGGCGUCCACCAGCUGGAGGGUCUGUCAGCCAUGGAGGUGGAAGUCAGGUGCAUCUGCAGCGGCCGCUGCCACAGAAACAGCCCAGCAUGCCCAGGGUGCAAAACCUCAAGUUCAACCGCAGAAGAGGAAGCCGAAAACUGGAAUAUUAAUGCUAAACAUGGGAGGCCCUGAAACUCUCGGAGAUGUUCACGACUUCCUUCUGAGACUCUUCUUGGACCGGGACCUCAUGACGCUUCCUAUUCAGAAGUGAGAUAUAUAUAAACACCUUGAUUAUAACCUUGGCACUACAUUGACAUGUGUCUCUCAAUUCUGUAGUUUCAAACCAGUAAAUAGUUUUAAUGCGUAUCUGGUAAUGGUUAAACAGCAGCAUUGUUUUCUAUUGGAUAUCAGAAGGAUAUGAUAUCAGAAAAUUGCAGGGGGAGAGAGCAAAUAAGUUAGUGAGGAUUCUCCUUGAGCUCUUUGCUCCCCAGAGCCCUGGAAGUUGCAG
rnacentral:sRNA from 1 species